rnacentral:lncRNA from 1 species
UUCAGAAGAGCUCCAGUAGCUUGUUAACAGAGGAGGGGAUGGCACUUACGAAGUUAAUUAGCUGCCAUCUUGUGGAAGAUUUAUUUCAAGUCCGUCCAGGUUGGUCCAGGAAAGGCCCAGUAAGCCCAGGGUGAGUUCAGUCUGUGACUUCUGCAUUUGCACGUGUAGUUACGCCAACCUCUCAGGUCAUGAAACGUAAUUAGUGUGUCUCUGUACACAGACAAUAUAAGUUAGGGUUACCAUUU